UAUCCUGUCUGAAUAUGGGGGGACCAUCCUCCAAGGCUAAAUACUCCUGACUGACCGAUAGUGAACCAGUACCGUGAGGGAAAGGCGAAAAGAACCCCGGCGAGGGGAGUGAAAAAGAACCUGAAACCGUGUACGUACAAGCAGUGGGAGCACCCUUUGGGUGUGACUGCGUACCUUUUGUAUAAUGGGUCAGCGACUUAUAUUCUGUAGCAAGGUUAACCGAAUAGGGGAGCCGGAGGGAAACCGAGUCUUAACCGGGCGUUAAGUUGCAGGGUAUAGACCCGAAACCCGGUGAUCUAGCCAUGGGCAGGUUGAAGGUUGGGUAACACUAACUGGAGGACCGAACCGACUAAUGUUGAAAAAUUAGCGGAUGACCUGUGGCUGGGGGUGAAAGGCCAAUCAAACCGGGAGAUAGCUGGUUCUCCCCGAAAGCUAUUUAGGUAGCGCCUCGUGAAUUCAUCUCCGGGGGUAGAGCACUGUUUCGGCUAGGGGGCCAUCCCGGCUUACCAACCCGAUGCAAACUGCGAAUACCGGAGAAUGUUAUCACGGGAGACACACGGCGGGUGCUAACGUCCGUCGUGAAGAGGGAAACAACCCAGACCGCCAGCUAAGGUCCCAAAGUCAUGGUUAAGUGGGAAACGAUGUGGGAAGGCCCAGACAGCCAGGAUGUUGGCUUAGAAGCAGCCAUCAUUUAAAGAAAGCGUAAUAGCUCACUGGUCGAGUCGGCCUGCGCGGAAGAUGUAACGGGGCUAAACCAUGCACCGAAGCUGCGGCAGCGACACUGUGUGUUGUUGGGUAGGGGAGCGUUCUGUAAGCCUGUGAAGGUGUGUCGUGAGGCAUGCUGGAGGUAUCAGAAGUGCGAAUGCUGACAUAAGUAACGAUAAAGCGGGUGAAAAGCCCGCUCGCCGGAAGACCAAGGGUUCCUGUCCAACGUUAAUCGGGGCAGGGUGAGUCGACCCCUAAGGCGAGGCCGAAAGGCGUAGUCGAUGGGAAACGGGUUAAUAUUCCCGUACUUGGUGUUACUGCGAAGGGGGGACGGAGAAGGCUAUGUUGGCCGGGCGACGGUUGUCCCGGUUUAAGCGUGUAGGUGUGUGUUCCAGGUAAAUCCGGUUCACUUUAACACUGAGGCGUGACGACGAGGCACUACGGUGCUGAAGCAACAAAUGCCCUGCUUCCAGGAAAAGCCUCUAAGCAUCAGGUAACAUCAAAUCGUACCCCAAACCGACACAGGUGGUCAGGUAGAGAAUACCAAGGCGCUUGAGAGAACUCGGGUGAAGGAACUAGGCAAAAUGGUGCCGUAACUUCGGGAGAAGGCACGCUGACACGUAGGUGAAGUGAUUUACUCAUGGAGCUGAAGUCAGUCGAAGAUACCAGCUGGCUGCAACUGUUUAUUAAAAACACAGCACUGUGCAAACACGAAAGUGGACGUAUACGGUGUGACGCCUGCCCGGUGCCGGAAGGUUAAUUGAUGGGGUCAGCGCAAGCGAAGCUCCUGAUCGAAGCCCCGGUAAACGGCGGCCGUAACUAUAACGGUCCUAAGGUAGCGAAAUUCCUUGUCGGGUAAGUUCCGACCUGCACGAAUGGCGUAAUGAUGGCCAGGCUGUCUCCACCCGAGACUCAGUGAAAUUGAACUCGCUGUGAAGAUGCAGUGUACCCGCGGCAAGACGGAAAGACCCCGUGAACCUUUACUAUAGCUUGACACUGAACAUUGAGCCUUGAUGUGUAGGAUAGGUGGGAGGCUUUGAAGUGUGGACGCCAGUCUGCAUGGAGCCGACCUUGAAAUACCACCCUUUAAUGUUUGAUGUUCUAACGUGGACCCGUUACCCGGGUUGCGGACAGUGUCUGGUGGGUAGUUUGACUGGGGCGGUCUCCUCCUAAAGAGUAACGGAGGAGCACGAAGGUUGGCUAAUCCUGGUCGGACAUCAGGAGGUUAGUGCAAUGGCAUAAGCCAGCUUGACUGCGAGCGUGACGGCGCGAGCAGGUGCGAAAGCAGGUCAUAGUGAUCCGGUGGUUCUGAAUGGAAGGGCCAUCGCUCAACGGAUAAAAGGUACUCCGGGGAUAACAGGCUGAUACCGCCCAAGAGUUCAUAUCGACGGCGGUGUUUGGCACCUCGAUGUCGGCUCAUCACAUCCUGGGGCUGAAGUAGGUCCCAAGGGUAUGGCUGUUCGCCAUUUAAAGUGGUACGCGAGCUGGGUUUAGAACGUCGUGAGACAGUUCGGUCCCUAUCUGCCGUGGGCGCUGGAGAACUGAGGGGGGCUGCUCCUAGUACGAGAGGACCGGAGUGGACGCAUCACUGGUGUUCGGGUUGUCAUGCCAAUGGCACUGCCCGGUAGCUAAAUGCGGAAGAGAUAAGUGCUGAAAGCAUCUAAGCACGAAACUUGCCCCGAGAUGAGUUCUCCCUGAGACUUAGAGUCUCCUGAAGGAACGUUGAAGACGACGACGUUGAUAGGCCGGGUGUGUAAGCGCAGCGAUGCGUUGAGCUAACCGGUACUAAUGAACCGUGAGGCUUAACCUUACAACGCCGAAG
rnacentral:rRNA from 1 species